rnacentral:rRNA from 1 species
CAGUAGCCACGGGAAUACGUAGGUGGCAAGCGUUGUCCGGAAUUAUUGGGCGUAAAGGGCUCGCAGGCGGUUUCUUAAGUCUGAUGUGAAAGCCCCCGGCUCAACCGGGGAGGGUCAUUGGAAACUGGGAAACUUGAGUGCAGAAGAGGAGAGUGGAAUUCCACGUGUAGCGGUGAAAUGCGUAGAGAUGUGGAGGAACAUCAGUGGCGAAGGCGACUCUCUGGUCUGUAACUGACGCUGAGGAGCGAAAGCGUGGGGAGCGAACAGGAUUAGAUACCCGAGUAGUCCCUGUCUCUUAUAC